GACCUUGCUCCACUGCUGUGGCACUACUUUGGCACUGUUGCUGCACUGCUCCAGGAGAUUGUGUCAAUUUACCCUUCACUUUCACCUCCUACUUUGUCGCCAGUUGCAUCAAACCGUGUCUGCAAUGCACUUGCACUUCUUCAGUGUGUUGCUUCACACCCUGAGACCAGGAUCCCGUUCUUGAAUGGUA